rnacentral:rRNA from 1 species
AGAGAGUUCAAGAGGACGUGAAAUCACCUGGAUAGAAGCGGAUAGAGUUAACGAGACGGGCGGCAUUCAGGUCGUGCGUUGCCGUGAAGCGGUUGGUGCCUUUAAUGGUGCUGUAAGUCCGAUAAUCGGUGGCGUUUCGUACUGCACUUGCCGUUCGUAUACGCUGAGGCGGCCGAUUGCUCCUUCCGAUGUGCAUAGCGUGGCCCACCUUGUGUGGUGUCCUGUUGUGUGCGGAGGUUGAUGUAGUGGUUGGUCGGUUUAUGUGUUCGGCCUCUGCGCAGUGUGUCGUGGCCAGUUUUGCAUACAGUGUCGGAGGCUUGCCUCUUGGUGUUGUGUGUAGGGCUGGUGCGGCUCGUUGCUUGAACACGUUCUCGGUGUCAAAAGUUGACCACCUAUCCGACCCGUCUUGAAACACGGACCAAGAAGUCUAGUACGUGCGCGAGUCAUUGAGUGGAAAACUCAUAUGGCGUAAUGAAAGUAAAGAUCAGCGUUGGUUGAUUGAUAUGUGAUCCGUGGGCUUGCUCGCGGCGCAACAUAGCCCCAUGCUAACUGCUUGCAGCGGUGUGGAGGUAGAGCGUACGUACUGGGACCCGAAAGAUGGUGAACUAUGCUUGAGCAGGACGAAGUCAGAGGAAACUCUGAUGGAGGUCCGUAGCGGUUCUGACGUGCAAAUCGAUCGUCGGACUUGAGUAUAGGGGCGAAAGACUAAUCGAACCAUC